GGAUGCGAUCAUACCAGCACUAAAGCACCGGAUCCCAUCAGAACUCCGAAGUUAAGCGUGCUUGGGUGAGAGUAGUACUAGGAUGGGUGACCUACUGGGAAGUCCUCGUGUUGCAUUCC
rnacentral:rRNA from 1 species